rnacentral:rRNA from 1 species
UAUUAUGCAACACAAUGAACAUUUUUGGAGAACCUAAUAUAUUAAAAACUCAAAAGCUAAGCAGGGUCGGGCCUGGUUAGUACUUGGAUGGGAAACCAGCUAGGAAGACCAGGUACCGUAGGCG